AACAAACGCUGGCGGCGUGCCUAAUACAUGCAAGUCGAACGGGGAAAGCUUUCGGGUGAGUACUAGUGGCGCACGGGUGAGUAACGCGUGGGUAAUCUGCCUUAGAGUGGGGGAUAACCAGUCGAAAGACUGGCUAAUACCGCAUAAGACCACAAGAUCUGAGGAUCUAGAGGUCAAAGGUUUUUCGCUCUAAGAUGAGCCCGCGUAAGAUUAGCUAGUUGGUGAGGUAAUGGCUCACCAAGGCGACGAACUUUAACUGAUCUGAGAGGAUGAUCAGUCACACUGGAACUGAGACACGGUCCAGACUCCUACGGGAGGCAGCAGUAGGGAAUAUUGCACAAUGGAGGAAACUCUGAUGCAGCGACGCCGCGUGAGUGAUGAAGGACUUCGGUUCGUAAAGCUCUGUUGCAAGGGAAUAAAAAAAUGAAUGUACCUUGUGAGGAAGGGUCGGCUAACUUCGUGCCAGCCGCCGCCGUAA
rnacentral:rRNA from 1 species